UUUAAUAUCAGUGUAAGCCCAUUACUGCUAUAAAACAUAAACCAUGUUAAUAGAAUGAAAUGGAUCCAGGUUCCAUUUAUUCUACAUCAGAUUUACUGCCUGUGGAACACUUCUCCAUAGUGUCUGAAAUCAAGAUGACUGCAGGUCUGAAUCCCAAACUAAUGGGGGGAAAUGGAUCCAUCUAAUAAGAUGGUAUUUAGAGAAACAUAGGGAAGACAUCAAAACUCCAAAAUAACACAUGGAAUCAUGUAGUAACCAACAACGUGUUAAACAAAUCAAGUGGAGGCCAGGUCAUCUGAUGCAGCCCUUCAUCACUCUCCUUCUUGGUCAAAUAGCCCUUACACAGCCUGGAGGUGUCAUUGACCUGCUGGAAAACAAAUGAUACUAACACUAAGCACAAACCAGAUGGGAUGGCGAAUCACUGCAGAUUGCUAUGGUAGCCAUGCUGAUUAAGUUUGCCUUGAAGUCUAAAUAAAUCACUGACAUUCACCAGCAAAGCACCAUCACACCUCCUCCUCCAUGCUUCACGGUGGGAGCCACACAUGCAGAGAUCAUCUGUUCACCUCCUCUGCUUCUCACAAAGACAUCACACCACCUCCUCCAUGCUUCACGGUGGGAACCACACAUGCAGAGAUCAUCUGUUCAUCUAAUCUGCUUCUCACAAAGACACGGUUGGAACCAGAUAUCUUAAAUUUGAACUCAUCAGACAAAAGGACAGAUUUCCACCGGUCUAAUGUCCAUUGCUCGUGUUUCUUGGCUCAAGCAAGUCUCUUCUUAUUAUUGGUGUCCAUUAGCAGUGGUUUCUUUGCAGCAAUUGAUAGUGAGGGUGUUUUCUGUUAACAGAAUGUGUUUCUUGUUAAAAGGCUGAAUAUCAAUAAAGGGAAUAAGCAAAGACA